rnacentral:rRNA from 1 species
AGUGAACGCUGGCGGCGUGCUUAACACAUGCAAGUCGAGCGGCAGCGGAAAGUAGCUUGCUACUUUGCCGGCGAGCGGCGGACGGGUGAGUAAUGUCUGGGAAACUGCCUGAUGGAGGGGGAUAACUACUGGAAACGGUAGCUAAUACCGCAUAACGUCGCAAGACCAAAGAGGGGGACCUUCGGGCCUCUUGCCAUCAGAUGUGCCCAGAUGGGAUUAGCUAGUAGGUGGGGUAAUGGCUCACCUAGGCGACGAUCCCUAGCUGGUCUGAGAGGAUGACCAGCCACACUGGAACUGAGACACGGUCCAGACUCCUACGGGAGGCAGCAGUGGGGAAUAUUGCACAAUGGGCGCAAGCCUGAUGCAGCCAUGCCGCGUGUAUGAAGAAGGCCUUCGGGUUGUAAAGUACUUUCAGCGGGGAGGAAGGUGUUGAGGUUAAUAACCUCAGCAAUUGACGUUACCCGCAGAAGAAGCACCGGCUAACUCCGUGCCAGCCGCCGCGGUAAAAC